AGAGUUUGAUCCUGGCUCAGGAUGAACGCUGGCGGCGUGCUUAAUACAUGCAAGUCGAGCGAAGCGCUUUAACGGAAUUCUUCGGAAGGAAGAUAAAGUGACUGAGCGGCGGACGGGUGAGUAACGCGUGGGUAACCUGCCUCAUACAGGGGGGAUAACAGUUAGAAAUGGCUGCUAAUACCGCAUAAGCGCACAGGACCGCAUGGUCUGGUGUGAAAAACUCCGGUGGUACAGGAUGGACCCGCGUCUGAUUAGCUGGUUGGUGAGGUAACGGCUCACCAAGGCGACGAUCAGUAGCCGGCUUGAGAGAGUGAACGGCCACAUUGGGACUGAGACACGGCCCAAACUCCUACGGGAGGCAGCAGUGGGGAAUAUUGCACAAUGGGGGAAACCCUGAUGCAGCGACGCCGCGUGAGUGAAGAAGUAUCUCGGUAUGUAAAGCUCUAUCAGCAGGGAAGAAAAUGACGGUACCUGACUAAGAAGCCCCGGCUAACUACGUGCCAGCAGCCGCGGUAAUACGUAGGGGGCAAGCGUUAUCCGGAUUUACUGGGUGUAAAGGGAGCGUAGACGGCAAGGCAAGUCUGAUGUGAAAACCCAGGGCUUAACCCUGGGACUGCAUUGGAAACUGUCUGGCUCGAGUGCCGGAGAGGUAAGCGGAAUUCCUAGUGUAGCGGUGAAAUGCGUAGAUAUUAGGAAGAACACCAGUGGCGAAGGCGGCUUACUGGACGGUAACUGACGUUGAGGCUCGAAAGCGUGGGGAGCAAACAGGAUUAGAUACCCUGGUAGUCCACGCCGUAAACGAUGACUACUAAGGGGUCGGGG
rnacentral:rRNA from 1 species